rnacentral:rRNA from 1 species
UUUGGUGGCGAUAGCGAAGAGGUCACACCCGUUCCCAUACCGAACACGGAAGUUAAGCUCUUCAGCGCCGAUGGUAGUCGGGGGUUACCCCUGUGAGAGUAGGACGCCGCCAAGC